rnacentral:rRNA from 1 species
UGGGGAAUAUUGGACAAUGGGGGGAACCCUGAUCCAGCCAUGCCGCGUGUGUCAAGAAGGCCUUAUGGUUGUAAAGCACUUUAAGCGAGGAGGAGGGUACUGGUAUUAAUACUACCAGGUACUGGACGUUACUCGCAGAAUAAGCACCGGCUAACUCUGUGCCAGCAGCCGCGGUAAUACAGAGGGUGCGAGCGUUAAUCGGAUUUACUGGGCGUAAAGCGUGCGUAGGCGGCUAAUUGAGUCGGAUGUGAAAUCCCCGAGCUUAACUUGGGAAUUGCAUUCGAUACUGGUUAGCUAGAGUGUGGGAGAGGAUGGUAGAAUUCCAGGUGUAGCGGUGAAAUGCGUAGAGAUCUGGAGGAAUACCGAUGGUGAAGGCAGCCAUCUGGCCUAACACUGACGCUGAGGUACGAAAGCAUGGGGAGCAAACAGG